UGAUGAAGAUAGAUGAAUGGAUGUAUCUCUUUUUACGAUGCCGUUUCAUGACAUCCUUCUUUAUGAUAUUUUGGAUUAUGUUCAUACCCAUUUUGUAUGAACUGCUCCGUCUUAUUAAAUAAAAAAGGAGUCCUGAGAGAGACAUUAGGAGGGAUUCCCGAAUGGUUUGUCUUGCAAGUGUUCAUCUUGAGACAGGAUCCACAUUAGGUCGGUUAGCUUGGCUUUGAUGGCUAGAAUUUACCACUUUAUAUAUUUAAUUAAAUAUAAACAAGUACUUCGCAAAUAUCUGGUGCCUGGUGGGACUAUCUGAAAACUCUUGUAGCUUGGAAACAUUGAAGCCGGUCUACUCGCUGAUGUCUUGCACACUUUUGUAUAUGCUACACAUGUACAAACUAAUUUACAUGUAGAGUACUAAAGAUAAGAUGAUAACGGUUCUCUAGAAUGGUGACUCCUCUGGGUGUCCCAUGAGGAAUUCUCGCAAUUGCGGUUGUGGCAAGGGCAGGCAC
rnacentral:lncRNA from 1 species